rnacentral:rRNA from 1 species
AGAACGAACGCUGGCGGCAGGCCUAACACAUGCAAGUCGAGCGCCCGUAGCAAUACGGGAGCGGCAGACGGGAUAGUAACACGUGGGAACGCGCCCUUCGGUUCGGAAUAACUCAGGGAAACUUGAGCUAAAUACCGGAUACGCCCUUACGGGGAAAGAUUUAUUGCCGAAGGAACGGCCCGCGUCCGAUUAGCUAGUUGGUGAGGUAAUGGCUCACCAAGGCGACGAUCGGUAGCUGGUCUGAGAGGAUGACCAGCAUCACUGGGACUGAGACACGGCCCAGACUCCUACGGGAGGCAGCAGUGGGGAAUAUUGGACAAUGGGCGCAAGGCCUGAUCCAGCCAUGCCGCGUGAGUGAUGAAGGCCCUAGGGUUGUAAAGCUCUUUUGUGCGGGAAGAUAAUGACGGUACCGCAAGAUAAGCCCGGCUAACUUCGUGCCAGCAGCCGC